rnacentral:rRNA from 1 species
GGAGACUGCCGGUGAUAAUCCGGAGGAAGGUGGGGAUGACGUCAAGUCAUCAUGGCCCUUACGGCCAGGGCUACACACGUGCUACAAUGGCGCGUACAGAGGGCUGCAAGCUAGCGAUAGUGAGCGAAUCCCAAAAAGCGCGUCGUAGUCCGGAUCGGAGUCUGCAACUAGACUCCGUGAAGUCGGAAUCGCUAGUAAUCGCAAAUCAGAAUGUUGCGGUGAAUACGUUCCCGGGCCUUGUACACACCGCCCGUCACACCAUGGGAGUGGGUUGCACCAGAAGUAGAUAGCUUAACCUUCGGGAGGGCGUUU